CCUACGGGGGGCUGCAGUGGGGAAUAUUGGACAAUGGGGGCAACCCUGAUCCAGCCAUGCCGCGUGUGUGAAGAAGGCCCUCGGGUUGUAAAGCACUUUCAGUGAGGAAGAACGCCUGGUGGUUAAUACCCAUCAGGAAAGACAUCACUCACAGAAGAAGCACCGGCUAACUCCGUGCCAGCAGCCGCGGUAAUACGGAGGGUGCGAGCGUUAAUCGGAAUUACUGGGCGUAAAGCGCGCGUAGGUGGCUUGAUAAGCCGGUUGUGAAAGCCCCGGGCUCAACCUGGGAACGGCAUCCGGAACUGUCAAGCUAGAGUGCAGGAGAGGAAGGUAGAAUUCCCGGUGUAGCGGUGAAAUGCGUAGAGAUCGGGAGGAAUACCAGUGGCGAAGGCGGCCUUCUGGACUGACACUGACACUGAGGUGCGAAAGCGUGGGUAGCAAACAGGAUUAGAUACCCUUGGUAGUC
rnacentral:rRNA from 1 species